rnacentral:rRNA from 1 species
AUUGAACGCUGGCGGCAGGCCUAACACAUGCAAGUCGAGCGAGCGGCGGACGGGUGAGUAAUACCUGGGAAACUGCCUGACGGAGGGGGGUAACUCCUGGAAACGGUAGCUAAUACCGCCUACCUUAAGAUGUCACCAGGUGGGAUUAGCUCGUAGGUGGGGUAACGGCUCACCUAGGCGACGAUCCCUAGCUGGUCUGAGAGGAUGACCAGCCACACUGGAACUGAGACACGGUCCAGACUCCUACGGGAGGCAGCAGUGGGGAAUAUUGGACAAUGGGCGCAAGCCUGAUGCAGCCAUGCCGCGUGUGUGAAGAAGGCCUUCGGGUUGUAAAGCACUUUCAGCGGGGAGGCGUUACCCGCAGAAGAAGCACCGGCUAACUCCGUGCCAGCAGCCGCGGUAAUUC